UGCGAACAAACUCACAUCAUCCAUGUUAAUAGCAUAAAACGGUAGAUUAUACAUGACUAUAUUCAAGUCACCGGAAAACUCAUGUCUCCGGAUCUGCAAUGUUGACGACGCAAAAGUCAUUAAUGGAAUCUGCACUUGCUCAAAGCUAAUUUUUCAACCUGAAUCAAAUAAAUACCGUACUAAGACGAAAAAUCAAAAACACUACACAAAGACAAGAAAUCAAAACAAUCAAAGUCGUGCAAACAAAGUCAAUUGGGAUGUACAUAAUUUGAAGAUAGUAUGAUUUAUUUGACUCCGUACAAAUACAACACUGGAGUUUACAUAAUAGUGUGUAAAAAGAGCCUUCCAUUUUUUUAAUAAUCAUCCUAAACUCUGUGAUAUCAUGUUUAGAGGACAAGAAACUAUCCACUCACUUUUUAGCAUCAAGCUCAAAGUUCAUAGGUCCUAAACUCAAGUCAUCAACCAUUGAAAAGCAGUUAAAAAUCCUAGUACUUCACCAACAUGUACCUCACAAAUUGGUUCAAACUAUUCAGUUUUAGCCAACACAAAAUUGCACGUCUCAUCCCUUAUACAAAUUUCAAUCCCAACUUUAUAGUUUAUUUUGAGAAGGACGCGUCAUACAUUUAAAUAUGCCAACAUUAGAUUUAGACCACUUGUUGCUACCUACGUGCCUUUGUUGAGAGACGAAUUAUAUGCACGUAGGAUAGAUUCUUUUAGGAAUGUUUAGAGGUCUUGCAACAAAUAUUCAUAUGUAUUUCUUUAUUCGCAGAUGGAGUUUCAAAUACGAUAUAAAACUUUCACAUACAAAAGUGUGAUCCAAAGUCUAACCCGAAACACCAAUAUCCAAUCUAGCCUUAAUGGGAUCAAUUUCAACAAAAUAUUUGGUGGCAGUUGACAGUAACAAUAUCGAUUUUUGGUUGGACUAAUGGAUUUUUAGUGGAACUUCUCUUAUUUCCAUCACUAACCAAACUAGCAUCAACACGACUCUCACUGUGAGGGAUGUGGUAACCGCCUUAUAAUUUCCUUACUUCUAACUUACCUCAUGCCUUUGCUUUUCAGGUUUUCUCCAUCCUUGCACCUAAGGACAAAAAUGGACAUGACAAGAUUGGCUAGGGAGGAACCAACACUAAGAAAUUCACAACUCAAAGUUCAUGUGAUUCUAUGAAUGCUAGAGCUCAGCCCAUUGAGGGAGAUUGGAAGCCUUAUUGAGUUGGAAAGGUUCACAUAGAAUUCAGACAUUCAUGUGGAUUCCGGCUC
rnacentral:lncRNA from 1 species